AUCAAGAUGGUGGAACUGGUGGCUUCGAUCAAUACCGUUUCGGACCUGUGAUCAUGCAAAAAGUCAGGAAAAUCAGCCGGUGAAUGGUUUUUUUGUUUCCAAAAUUUCACACGUUCUUAUGCAUUCACUAUAUGGGGAACAUGGCGGUGCUGUGAAGGCAUCUGAAUUAUUGGGCUUGUCCGAAAAAUCGGACGUUGACUGUAUAGUACUAUAACUAUAAAUCCAGUCUCAGCACCAGCACUACAUCACAAG
rnacentral:lncRNA from 1 species